rnacentral:lncRNA from 1 species
UUUUUUUUUUUUUUUUUUUUUUUUUUUUGGAAACUUUCUAUACCUAUACAAUCCACAAGAAAAGUCAUGGAAGGCUUGAACCUGUUUACUAAUGACUCAGACUUCAGAAGAACCUGAGAAUGACACCCAGGAGACAAGUAAUCCCUCUUUUAUGAGAUUCAAAUAAACCAGCUAAAGUAAAUACCAUGACUCCACUUAAAAGUAGAAUGCAAACCAAGAGCAGAUCUGGUGACAAUACAACAAUGCCCAAUCAAACUGGAAGCACAUGAAGGCUUUGAGCCCUUUACAGACUCAGAGAAUGGGUCAGAUUGGAAGGGAACACACUGGGACAUCUGGUCUAACCUCCCUGUUGAAGUAGACUAUCCUAGAGCACCUGGCACAGGAAUGUGUCUAGAUAUAUCUUGAAUAUUGCCAGUGAGGAAGACUCCAAAACCUUUAUUGGCAAUCUUCUGUAGUGAGUGGUCAAUCACACAGUACAGAAGAUCUUGCUCAUAUUCAGAUGGAAUUUUCUGUGCAUCAGCUCCUGCACAUUAUCCCUUGUCCUAUUCUUUGGCAUCACUGAAAAGAGCCUGUCUCCAUCUUCUUGGCACCUCCCCUUCAGAUACUUACAGGCACUGGUGAUGUCUCCUCUCAGUUGUCUCUUUUCCAGGCUAAAUACACCCAGCUCUUUCAAUCUUUCAUCAUAAAAGAGUUGCAGCAGUCCCUUAAUCAUCUUAGUCAUCCUUCACUGGACCUGCUCCAGGAGCCCCACAUCUCUCCUGCACUGAGUAGCUCAGAACUGCACACAGCAAUCCAGAUGCAGGUUUGUCAGGGCAGGAGAAUCAGGAUCACCUCCCUCAACCUGCUGGCAAUGCUCAUCCUAAUGCACCCCAGGAUAGCAUUGUCUUUCUUAGCCACAAGGACACACUGCUGGCUCACGGACAGAAACUCAGGAACUCCUGGCUUGUGGACAGGUUGUUGUAUUGACAGAUAAAAAAUCAUUUGCACAUAGUGGGUUAUACAAUGCUUAUUUUUCACAAGACAUUGGCCCAAAAUCCCUGGUCACUUGGAAGAAAUUGGUUGAGCAUUGUAAUAAUUGGUGGCUGAAGUACACUUUGGCAGUCCGCAAAAAAAGGAGACACUGGAAAAGGGAGUGCUCCCAGGCCAGGGAAAAUCACACAGAAAACCUAAACCUAGCUCUUCAAAUCACCAAGCUCAUAACCAUAAAUGAAGAAUUCCCCUGAAGGAGACCAGGGGAAUCAUCCUCAGCUGAGGCCCUGGUUAUAUUAUUCCUGGGCAAUGAACAGGUGAUUUUAAAAAAUUUAUAUAAAAGCACCUUAAUUGGUACUGAAUACAUGCAAAGGAAAACUUAGCUUGGAACCACUAAGUGUUGUGGUUGUGGAGAAAGAGAACAGGCUUUGUUUUCUACAACAGUUUCCAUUUAAAUUAAGAAAAUAGUGGGGGACACAUCAAUUUUUGUAUAAGCCUGAAUGCCAAAUUCCCUUGUUGAGGAGAGAUUUUUUGGGAAAAUUGAAUAAUCAAAUAACUUUCCUGGAUGAGGAAAUACAGAUUCAAAUACCUGAAUGAAAAGCCAUUGAGACAAAGAUUUUUAUGCUACAGGAAUGCAAUGAGUCAGAAGAAAUCCCAGAGGAAAUAGAGAGUGUUGUAACCUCAUUGGUAUGGGUAACUGAGAUGCCUGGAUGAUCACAGCUGGAGAGUUGUUUGAUUUUGAAUGGGAAAAUCCAAACCCCGGGUGGAAGGUUCAGCUAACAUGGACUCUGCUAUCCCAGGGCUUCAAAACAGCCCCAGUAUGUCUGGCAAUCAGCUGGCAAAAGAAAGUGGAAAGCUGGAAAAGGAAAAUCUGAGCAGAAUUUUACUACAACAUAGAGAUUAUAUUCUGCCAGCAACCAAUGAAGGAAGUGUCUCAGUGCUACUACAAGUCUGUUAAAUUUCUUACACAAUCUGGAUACAGGAUAUCAAAGAAAAUGGCACAAAUAGGAAAAAAGUGAAGCAGUAAUAUAACUUGGUUUUGUUAUGUUGCAACGAAAAAGCAGCCAAAAAGGCUUGGGAAGCAGCCAAAAGGAAGCCAUUUGUCAGACUCUGGAGCCAAGAACUGUACAAGAUCUAUGCGUCUUCUUAGCAGGAUGCUAAAAUACCAAGUUGCCUUACUGGAGCAGGGAAAUAUUGAACCUAAGACUGGACCUCAAUUGUAAUCCUAUCCAGGACCCGGAACUGGAGUUAUACACUGGUGGGAACAGCAUCGUAUGAAAUUCAAGACGUUCACCUGGGUAUGCAGUGGUAACUUUGACUCAGGUAGUAGAAGUCCAGGCUUUACAGCACAAAAAGCAGAAUUAAUGGCUUUACAUGUAGCUCUGGCAAAGGGUGAACAUAUGAACUGAUUUAAAACCAGUUUUGGGAUAACACAUGCCCAUGAAGACAUUUGAAAGGAAGGUGGAUUGCUACAAGGAUUGCCUAUGAAGUAUAAAAAUGAAAUAAGUUAAUUACUACAGAGCGUGGAAAAGCCAAAAGAAGUGGCUGUAACGCACUUGUGAAGCCCAUCAACUGUCGCAUUCUGUCUUGCUGCAAACCCUAGUCCAGCUCAGCCGGGGGGAGCGUGGCAUAAAAUACAAGAAUGGCUGCGAUGAACUUGCCCAAAAAUAAAGAUCUUUAAUAGCAAAAUAAUAAAUGCAGAAACCACACAGUCUGAGAAGCAAGAUCCAAGAUGGGGAGAGAGGUGAACAUAACAAGAUAUAGGGAUAUUCUGAGGAUAAGGGUCCAAUCAUGAAUGCAAACUCAGAACAUGUCCUUAUAUGUAACAAGUUCCAAACCAAAUGAGAACAAGAACAGGAAAAGUGACUUAAUAUAGAAUAGUUCCAUUACUGACUCUCAUGACCACGCUCUUCUUGUCAUGACCUGAAUAGAUGUUUCCAUUUUAAUAUCCUUCUUCCCAUGUCCUCAGGUUGGUGCCUCCUGUAUAUGCUACUGAGGCAAAGCCACUAUUUAUCCCAGCUGGCUGUAUUCCCACAAUCAACCAGUUUGGAAACUCCCCAGUUAAUACAGAGAAUCAAUUAGCUGACAAAACAGCCAAAGAGGUAGCUGAAAAAUACCUAGCAGAAAGCUGAAAGGCCUGGAACAAAAACCAAAUUAUAGUAAUCAGGAUGGGCAGUUAGCCCUAUCAUUAAAAGUUAUGAAAAAUCCCAGCAGCUGAUUGGUAACCUCAUGUGGGCAGGUACACAAUUUAAGUAUAAGAUAAUGGAACUAAAACAUCAGGAAACACUUUGGGAAAUAGAAAAAAUAGAAAGGAAAAGUGGAAUUGCCUCAAUAUCUGCUUGCAUCAGUAGGAAUCCUGAGGUAGAGCAGCUCAUGUCUGUUGCCCAGGUUGUAAGGCUGGGAUGUGUUUGUAGAAAUUAUUCUCCCUUUCUUAACGACACCUGGUCUCGCCUAACAGAUAAUAAGACCUUGAGAGAUAUAGACUGAGAGGAGGACAUUGUAAAAUCAUUGGGACCCACAACAUAGGUAGAAAGCAAUGGAAUUUGGACCGCACAUUAACCAUCAGGAGAAUAAAGAGAACAGUGGGCAUUAGGAGUACUAAUGUUCUGUCCCUUGUGAAGUAGUGACCACCAGGAACCUAGCUAUAGGGAGAAGUUAAACAUGAUGAAACUUGGAAACAUCCCAGUAUGCAGACUAUAGUGAGAUGGACUUCAGAUUCUUACUCCUCAAUUAUCUACCUUUAGGAAUAGACUAGCCAUACUAGCCAUACAUAAUAGACUAGCCAUAAUUCGACUCUGUAAAUGGAAACUUUAGCAAAUGCAACUUACUUGGGCUUUGUUGAAAUAAAUGAACAGUUGCAAGCCACAGCUAAAACAACCAUACAAAACAGAUUGGCUUUAGAUUUAUUGCUGUUACAUGAAUUAUGUGCUUGUUUGAAUUUAAACAAUAGUUGUGUGCACAUUCCAAAUGUGACUGUUUAACUGGAUGAUCAGCUAGUGCGGCUAAUAUUGCUACAUCUCGAAGAGAGUUAAGGGUAGGAUAAGAACAGGUCAAAUAACCUAUUUAAACAACUUGGAUUUUCUCUGACUGGUUGGUGGGCCUUCCUUUUGCAAAGUAUAAUUAUGAUCGUAUUAGUAAUUGUGAUUAUGAUGCUUGCUUUAAGCUGCUGAAAAAACAUGAUUUCUAAUGCAAUAUAAGGACCUUAUAUGUUAGUAAAAAAGCAUGGUGGGGCUUGUGAAGGCUCAAAGAGAAGACAAGCUUCACCAGCCUCAAAGGGUGGGAAAGUUGCCCAAUGAAAAAUCGUUUGUACCUGGUGGGUUAAUACAAUGCUUAUUCUUCAAAAACCACUGGCCUGUGGAACUGCACAAUACUUAUCCUGUAGAAAGAACUGGAAAGCAACUAGCCCAGUUGUGCCAACUUUUCAACAGCUCACCAGGUGGCCAGGUACGACUCUGGGGUCAGUGACCAUCAGAGACCACCAAAGAGACCCCCAGGACAGAAGAACACAAGUACAAAGGGGAGGGAACAUACAUUUAGAAUUUUAGGGAAAUUAUUAUCAUAUUUACAUUUAUUAUGGGAAAAUCAAUGAAUAUUAUGCAAAACAGGAGCUUUUUCUGUACUCAGCUGGCACAAAAUUUCAGAGGACACAACAUCUGGCUGAAUAAAGAAUGCCUGUUUCUAAAUGCUACAAUGGUAUUAAAGAGUUUUUAUUUUUACAAAUUUUUGGUAAAAACUGAGCAGAAUCCCCAGCUCCUUCUCAGAAAUACUUUCCAGAAGGUCAGCCCGCAGCUUGCAAUGGUGCAUAGGGUUAUUUCUUCCUGGGUUCAGAACCCUGCAUAUGCUUAUAUUGAGUUUCAGAGAGUUCUUCUCUGUCAAACUCUCCAGCUAAACUGAGAAUUAAAGAAACUGCAACAGGGAUGAAAGUGAAGGGAUCUUUCCCAGCAGAGAGGUGUGUAAGGUUUGUAAAUUGCAUGAACAGCUGUAAAAACUUCACUAGCUUCCUGGUGCCCUGUAAUAUAAAAUAAGAGGUCAGCUCUGCAAAAGCCCAUGUGGCUCUCUAUCCUUCAGAUGGUCUUUGAUAUGUGACCACAGUGCUUGUUUGUAUAUCUUGGCAAAUGUCACAGGCAUUUAUGCCAUCAAAGCUGAUUUUGGUGAAGAAUUUAAAAAGGAACUGUCUAGACCAAGGAGAGAGAUACACCAGAUGGAUCUGAACUGUGACCUGGAAGUAGUUGUUUUUAGCCUGCAGACCUGAAUGCAGUGCCCUUUUUGCUCCCAGGAGCAGGGGUGGCGAUGAGUUACUACACUCUUUAAGCAGCUCACAUGUAAUAUAGUAAAAAGCAUGGUUACCAAAUAAAGGAUAGCUGAAACAAUUGUGUUAUUUAUCCUUUCACUAGUGGUACUACAAGCAAUAGCUUAUUGUGUCUUAAGUGUAUGCAUAUAAAUAUGGAAGCAUGUAAAAAUGUACUUUCUAGAACAUAGCCAAAAAUGACGAUGGCUAGUAUCUGUGCUAAAUGAUUCUUAAAUUUCAUUAAUACAAAGAACAGUAAGAGGGGUCCUACCAUAACUACAAGAGAAAAGAUACAGUUGGAUUUUCUGAUGUGGGGAAAUCCCUUGGAAUUUGAGAAAAAACAAGAGGAGAUGUUUUUUAAUUAAACCAAAGGCUCAAAUGGUCUCAUAUUCACAUUGAGAAAUUUAGGUCUCAAAGAGAGAAUCAUGAAUGAUGAAUGAUUUAAAGAAAAGAUUUUGCAGAGUGAAUAACUGAGAACAACAGAUAAGUAGGAAACUGUCUGACAGUAUAUAAUAAAUUUUACUUGAGUUAGCAAAAUUAGAUAAACCCCAUGUCAUUUAGAUUAACUUAGUCCAUUAUUGCAUGAAAACUACACCUCUAAAGUUUAGACUGCCCACCUUCAGCUGAAGAGCCUCACUGAACAUGAGCAAUAAAUUUAAAAUACAAUGGGCAAAAGAUCAUAGAAUCAUAAAAAUGGGCAAAACAUCAUAGAAUCAUAAAAUGGUUUGGUUUGCAAGGGACUUUAAAAACCAUCUAGUUUCAGUCUCCCUGUGAUGGGCAAGGGCACCUCCACUAGCCCAAGUUCUUCAAUGCCCCAUCCUGGCUUUGAACACUUCCAGGGAUGAAGUAUCCACUUCUCGGGCAACCUGUAUUUCUGUCUCAUCAUCCCCACCGUAAAAAAAUUCUACUAUAUAUCUAACCUAAAUUAUCUUUCUUUGAGUUCAAUGGCUAUUAAAUAGGCAUGUAAUUAGACAUUAGGUAUGAUUGUACUUCUGUGUUAUGAAAGUGUAAAUUCUCAGCCUGACUGUAGCUGAUUUUGUGAGCUCACCUCCCUACAAAUAUGAAAUAAACAAGUAACUCUUAUAGGUUAGCUUCUUACACAAAAGACAGAAGAACCUGUAUUUGGGACAACACUGCGGGUGAGUAGGCUGGAGGAGUUCACCAGGAAGGGAACCAGUGGGGAAGGCUGGUGACAUCCCAGACCGCUUCAUGUCACUCAGCAGUGAAAGCCGGGAUAAGGAGAAAGAGCAGGGUAUUAGGAGAUAAGGCGUUUGUCUUCUUAAACAACCUUUAAACAUGACAAAGCUCUGGUUUUGUAGAAAUUUAUAAAUUACAGGUGCCUGUCAAUUUCAAGUACUGAAAUACUUCAUCGUUUUGCUUUGUGUGCAGAGUUUUUGGUUAUAACUAAAUUUUAACAAUUUUAAUUAGACUGCUGCUAUUUAGAUGCCCAUUUUCUCACUUUCAACCUUCUUUCUUUGUUCUCCACCUUCCUGUGACAGAGUGACCAAAGGAAUGCGCGGCGGCAGCUGCCCAACAGGGCUAGCCCACAACAGCUACUUAACUCCAGAUUUGCCUGGUGGCAAUUUGCAGAAUCACCCACCGCAGAAAAACACAGAGAGCCAAACGCACACCAGAUUCGGGGCAUAAACGAAGCUUCUUCUUGCCUUCUCUAGUCUCGCCCGCUAUUUGCAUCGACCGCCAGUACGCAUCUGCAUGUUUGGGGCAGGGUUACAUGCAGCUUUAUGUCCUGGGAAGCGCUGCUCCCGGUUGCUCCGGGCGCUGUCCCUCACGGCCAGCGCGU